rnacentral:misc_RNA from 1 species
GAUGAAGAACGUAGCGAAAUGCGAUACGUAAUGUGAAUUGCAGAAUUCAGUGAAUCAUCGAAUCUUUGAACGCACAUUGCGCCCGCCAGCACUCUGGCGGGCAUGCCUGUUCGAGCGUCAUUUCAACCCUCAGAACCCCUUUGGGGGAUCUGGCGUUGGGGAUCGGCAGUCCUGCCGGCCCCGAAAUAUAGUGGCGGUCUCUCUGUGACCUUCCCUGUGUAGUAGCGAUACCUCGCAGCGGGAUAGCAGUUUGGCCACGCCGUAAAACACCCAACUUCUCAAGGUUGACCUCGAAUCAGGUAGGAAUACCCGCUGAACUUAAGCAUAUCAAUAAGCGGAGGA